CACCAUGAUAGCCAUGAAAAAGCGAAGGCCAUUCUUGACGCUGCAGCAUCAAGAAGCAGGUACGGAUCGCAGGUGCAAGGUGAUCAAGAGGUUGUCGGGGAUGGUUCUGAUUGGGAGAGCGACUCCAGUUCUGAUCUGUUCGAGCUGGAUCUGGAUAGCACAUGACAUGCAUAAUCUCUCUACCCUUUCUUUUUCUCCAGCUGAUAUGAUCGAAUUUUACCAAAAUGGAUCUUUGAAUAUAAUUGUUAUGUAUUGUACCUAUGGUGGGAUGAGAUUAGCUAAUAACGCAAUGUAACUUAUAGUUAUGAUUAAUCUUUUGUGAUAAACAACUG
rnacentral:lncRNA from 1 species